UAUUAAAAAGUUCAUCCAUUUGUACCAUUAAAAAUCGGCACGGUUGACAAAAUAACUAUAUAGUACAUGUGGCGUGCUACAUGUACCUCGUGUUGACGUAUAAAGGCCAGUUUUUAACAAUAGAAAUUGAUAGAAUUUUUAACA
rfam:Gossypium hirsutum cultivar TM-1 chromosome 22, whole genome shotgun sequence